rnacentral:rRNA from 1 species
GACGUAGGGUGCGAGCGUUGUCCGGAUUUAUUGGGCGUAAAGAGCUCGUAGGCGGCUCGUCGCGUCAGCUGUGAAAACCCGCGGCUUAACUGUGGGCUUGCAGCUGAUACGGGCGGGCUAGAGUUCGGUAGGGGAGACUGGAAUUCCUGGUGUAGCGGUGAAAUACGCAGAUAUCAGGAGGAACACCGGUGGCGAAGGCGGGUCUCUGGGCCGAUACUGACGCUGAGGAGCGAAAGCGUGGGGAGCGAACAGG